UUGGAGGGCAAGUCUGGUGCCAGCAGCCGCGGUAAUUCCAGCUCCAAUGGCGUAUAUUAAAGUUGUUGCAGUUAAAAAGCUCGUAGUUGAAUUUCGGGGUUAGUAGGUUGGUCAUGCCACUGGUAUGUACUGGUCUCACUGAUUCCUCCUUCCUGAUGAGACGUAAUGCCAUUAAUUUGGUGUUGCGAGGAAUCUGGACUGUUACUUUGAAAAAAUUAGAGUGUUUAAAGCAAGCCAACGCUUGAAUACAUUAGCAUGGAAUAAUGAAAUAGGACGUUUGAUCCUAUUUUGUUGGUUUCUAGGAUUGACGUAAUGAUUAAUAGGGAUAGUUGGGGGCAUUAGUAUUCAAUUGUCAGAGGUGAAAUUCUUGGAUUUAUUGAAGACUAACUACUGCGAAAGCAUUUGCCAAGGAUGUUUUCAUUAAUCAAGAACGAAAGUUAGGGGAUCGAAGACGAUCAGAUACCGUCGUAGUCUUAACCAUAAACUAUGCCGACUAGGGAUCGGAUGAUGUUAAUUUUUUAAUGUCUCAUUCGGCGCCUUACGGGAAACCAAAGUGUUUGGGUUC
rnacentral:rRNA from 1 species